rnacentral:tRNA from 1 species
GUGGGGCUGUGGCUCAGUGGCAGAGCGCCCGCUUCGCACGUGUGAGACACUGGGUUCCAUCCUCAGCACCACA